rnacentral:rRNA from 1 species
UACGAAGGGGGCUAGCGUUGCUCGGAAUCACUGGGCGUAAAGCGCACGUAGGCGGCUUUCUAAGUCAGGGGUGAAAUCCUGGAGCUCAACUCCAGAACUGCCUUUGAUACUGGGAAGCUCGAGUCCGGAAGAGGUGAGUGGAACUCCGAGUGUAGAGGUGAAAUUCGUAGAUAUUCGGAAGAACACCAGUGGCGAAGGCGGCUCACUGGUCCGGUACUGACGCUGAGGCGCGAAAGCGUGGGGAGCAAACAGG